CCCCCAUCGCCUUCGGCGCCGAGGCCCCACGACGCUCCCGCCCUGCAAGGGCAGUUAUUUUGGCUCAGACGACCUGAAGGGGCUGGUGCUGAGAUUCCUGCAGCAGUAUUACUCCGUGUACGACUCCAGUGACCGGCAGGGGCUGCUGGACGCGUACCACGACGGGGCCUCCUGUUCCCUCAGCAUCCCCUUCGGGCCCCAAAACCCCCCCAGGUACC